AAAACCUUAAAAAUGAAAAAUACAUAAAUAUAUAUUAAAAAUGUAUAUUACUUUUUCUUUCCUUCAGGAAAGCGGCACUUUGAGUGCCUGGGAAUCUAAACAUUUUGAGGAGGGCGCAUUCAAUCGAUCAGAGCUGUAUCUGACAUAUGGAGAUCAGAGAGAAGUGUCUUUAUCUCUGCAUACUGGAGGCGGCCGCGACACCACAUUCACCAUAAAAGAAAGCUGGGACCGAUCUCUAUUUGAGCUGCAUUGUAGUACAUGUGAUGAAGUUAGUACUUGCCCCAACUAUGCAAAAAUUGAGGAAGACCGCAUUCGCCAACAGCAACAAGAGGAACAGAAACGAAAUGAAGAGUUGCGCAGACAAGCGGAACUGCGGCGUUUGGAAAGACUGGAGCAGGAAAAGAGGAUUGAGGAACAAAUCAACAGAGAAAACGAGACCGCAAGAAGGAAGCUGUCAGAAGCAUGGUCAAAGAUAAAUCUGAAUCUAGGUCAAGGGGGGCAAGAGAGACAUCAUCAGCACACCCACGUGGUACAGCAAGCAGUAGAUGACCAUGCAGUUGCUAUAGAGUGGGAUGAGGUACAGUAUGCUGUUUUCUAGCCCAGAUAAAACAAAUUAAGAUAAAUUCAUUAUUUUAAUGCAUAUCUGAAAUAUGAUAGGCCUAAAUAUACUUUCAAGGUCAUGGAAUAAUCUUUUGCAAUCUUGAGCGGAUUGUGUUAAUUUAUACUUAAAGGGGAAUUUCUCUUUAUAACACUUCUUCUCAUGACUGAUAUUGUCCUUCUAAUGAAUACAUUACCCUUCAUUUUUUGAUUAGUUAUUUCAUUAUGUUAAUAUUUUCCACUGUUUUGAUGUUUUCCUUUACAAAUGCAGGAAGUAGACCCUGGCAGUUUAGUGUCAAACUCCAGAAUGAAUAUCAUUGCGUGACUUCAGAUGUGGGCGUACCUGCAGACAAUAACAUUAGGUUGGUUGUAGAAAUAGUGUUGUAUGACUACUAGCUAGCGAAACCGAAAAUGUCUGAGAACAAAGGAGAUUUUGUUUUUGAUCAUGAGAUUGUUGUGCCCUAUUGAUUUGAGCCAGAAUACACAGAAGAAGAGCUGGCUAAUUUGCAGGCUGAUAGUGCGAGAGCGAGUCAGGAGCGGGCUGAGAUCAAGGAACCACAGGCUAUUCCCAGAACAAACGGCAACUUGUGGUAGACAUCCUAUGUAUCACAGACAGACUCGAUAGCGUUAGCCAGCCCGCAUAGUACCUACCACGAGCGGUUCGACCAACGAUGGGAAAACGGUGGGUACAGCUCCAGGCUUCAGACGGUCACCUUGAUAGUUGGUGGCUUCAAAGUGGUCGCUGCAUACUCUUAGUCCUCGUUUGCAAACUUCUUUGGCUGUUAUGUUGGGGUGUCUGAUUACAUCCAGCCAUGUCUGUUGCAUAGCAUGGAAAACUAUGAAAGUGUGCUUUCUAGGCAAGUUUAACGGGGGCAUUAUAACAGCCAGGUACAAUGCACCUCAUUAUUACACAGAUAUUGCAUCAAACAAAAGCUAACAGACGUUAGUUUGUCCGAUUUCAACGCUAAGUUAACGGAAUGUUUUGCUUCGCUUCUUCUCGAUUUUGCCAUGAAACGAAAUCGAAGAAGAAUAUAACGUAUACCGCACUACUAUGUGGACU